CUUAGAUACUUAACCACAUAACUGGUUUAUUCAACAAGUCUAGAUUAUUACACCGGGGUCAUCUUUGAAGCCGUUUGUAUAGGAGCUGAGGUUGGAUCAAUUGCUGCUGGUGGUCGAUAUGAUAACCUUAUAGGAAUGUUUGGAGCAAAGCAAGUCCCUGCGGUUGGCAUGAGCCUGGGGAUCGAGCGAGUGUUUAAUAUAUUGGAAAAGUGACAAAAACUGGAAGAGGAACAAAAACGAGUUGUUCUAUCUACAGAGACACAGGUUUUGGUUAGUGUAACGGAGGAGAAUAAGCUAGGGGAAGCUGCAGAACUGGCUAGUCAGUAUAUUGUGAACAAAAGGAGAGGAAAACAUUUUGAUCGUGCUCGUUGCAAGGGUUCAGAGAUUCCUUGGAUGGUGAUUGUAGGCAACACAGAACUCAGUAAAGGUGUUGUGACAUUGAAGAAGAUGGUCGAGUGGAGUGAGGAGGAAGUUAAAGGUGUUUCUAGAGACAGUUUCGUUGCUGAAUUGUUGAAACGUCUCUGAGUUGUCUUGAAAAUGAAACACAUUGUGUUGUAUUUUUAUUUUUAUAUCUAGUUUAUACAAUUCUGAUGAUGACUCAAAAUCUUGUGAUUGUUGUUCUUGAAGAUAAAAAAGUAGGAGAUUUUGAUGUU